UACGUAGGGUCCGAGCGUUGUCCGGAAUUACUGGGCGUAAAGAGCUCGUAGGUGGUUUGUCGCGUUGUUCGUGAAAACUCACAGCUCAACUGUGGGCGUGCGGGCGAUACGGGCAGACUGGAGUACUGCAGGGGAGACUGGAAUUCCUGGUGUAGCGGUGGAAUGCGUAGAUAUCUGGAGGAAUACCGGUGGCGAAGGCGGCAUCCUGGACCGACAUUGACGCUGAGGAGCGAAAGCUAGGGGAGCAAACGGGG
rnacentral:rRNA from 1 species